UUUGAAUUAUUGUCAAAUAAGACUGCAAUUUCAUGGAUCUCAAUUAUUAAGAAUAUGUAAACAAUGAUCUGUCUCUUGAUGCUUUGCGCUCUUCUUCACGAUGAAAUUAUCACAUUUAUUAACAUCUUGCAUGCUUGUGUGCAUGUUGGGGCAUUAGAAUAGGAUCACAUUGCAAGAGAACUUGAUUUUAAUGUGGGGUAUAUAUGG
rnacentral:misc_RNA from 1 species